AGGUCGAGUAGUGGUCUGGCAAUA
rnacentral:siRNA from 1 species